rnacentral:rRNA from 1 species
GACGAACGCUGGCGGCGUGCUUAACACAUGCAAGUCGAACGGAAAGGCCCUGCUUGCAGGGUACUCGAGUGGCGAACGGGUGAGUAACACGUGGGUGAUCUGCCCUGCACUUCGGGAUAAGCCUGGGAAACUGGGUCUAAUACCGGAUGGGAGCCAUUUUUAGUGUGAUGGUUGGAAAGUUUUUUUCGGUGUAGGAUGAGCUCGCGGCCUAUCAGCUUGUUGGUGGGGUAAUGGCCUACCAAGGCGGCGACGGGUAGCCGGCCUGAGAGGGUGGACGGCCACAUUGGGACUGAGAUACGGCCCAGACUCCUACGGGAGGCAGCAGUGGGGAAUAUUGCACAAUGGGCGCAAGCCUGAUGCAGCGACGCCGCGUGGGGGAUGACGGCCUUCGGGUUGUAAACUCCUUUCGCUAGGGACGAAGCUUUUUGUGACGGUACCUAGAUAAGAAGCACCGGCUAACUACGUG